rnacentral:lncRNA from 1 species
UUUAAAUCAAACGAUAAAUUUUGUAAAAUUCGUACCGAUUAUAAUAUAAAUCGCUACUUGUACACGAUGGACAACUUAAAACUAAAUAUAAUCUGCACACAUUUAGGCACCUAAAUUUCAAUAUAACCUGCCUAAAUCACAUCACAUAGCACUUAAAUUUCAUUUAUGCCGCUUACCCAAUUAAAUUUCAUUUAUCCCGCCUAUAUCACUUUCUAAUCCCUCCAACCAUUCAAUUUCCACUUUUGCAUAACAUUAAAAAAA